rnacentral:rRNA from 1 species
CCUACGGGCGGCAGCAGUGGGGAAUAUUGCACAAUGGGCGCAAGCCUGAUGCAGCCAUGCCGCGUGUGUGAAGAAGGCCUUCGGGUUGUAAAGCACUUUCAGUGGGGAGGAAGGCGGUGAGGUUAAUAACCUCAUCGAUUGACGUUACCCGCAGAAGAAGCACCGGCUAACUCCGUGCCAGCAGCCGCGGUAAUACGGAGGGUGCAAGCGUUAAUCGGAAUUACUGGGCGUAAAGCGCACGCGGGCGGUCUGUCAAGUCGGAUGUGAAAUCCCCGGGCUCAACCUGGGAACUGCAUUCGAAACUGGCAGGCUGGAGUCUUGUAGAGGGGGGUAGAAUUCCAGGUGUAGCGGUGAAAUGCGUAGAGAUCUGGAGGAAUACCGGUGGCGAAGGCGGCCCCCUGGACAAAGACUGACGCUCAGGUGCGAAAGCGUGGAGAGCAAACAGGAUUAGAUACCCGUGUAGUC